ACAGCAGCAGCCGCGGGAAUACGUAGGGUGCGAGCGUUAAUCGGAAUUACUGGGCGUAAAGCGUGCGCAGGCGGUUGUGUAAGACAGGUGUGAAAUCCCCGGGCUUAACCUGGGAACUGCAUUUGUGACUGGCGGGCUAGAGUAUGGCAGAGGGGGGUAGAAUUCCACGUGUAGCAGUGAAAUGCGUAGAGAUGUGGAGGAAUACCGAUGGCGAAGGCAGCCCCCUGGGCCAAUACUGACGCUCAUGCACGAAAGCGUGGGGAGCAAACAGGAUUAGAUACCCCCGUAGUCCCUGUCUCUUAUAC
rnacentral:rRNA from 1 species